GUAAAAUAUAUAAAUAUUUGUUCAAGUUAAAAAAUUGAUAUGCUGAUAUAAAAUUAUCCACACGAUCAUGACGAUAUAUAACCUUGUAAAUUUAUCGAAUAAUAUAUUUAUAAGUAUGGUAUCUAAUCUUUUGUAACAUGAAAAAUGAUCAUAUCUUUUUACAUUAUUUGACAAUAUAAGAUUAAAACUUUUUUUAUAUAAUUAUUAUGUCAAGCCUGAUAAGCUGGCAGGAUAUCCCAAUUUAUAGACUGCUAUGGACUUUCAUACUUGUAUUUAAAAACAUAGUUAUACCCAGGGCGUCUUCAGAAAAUACAUAUUUAUUUGUAAUGACUAAAUUAGGUUUUAAUUAUGAUUAUGAUUAUUUACAGUUUAUGUAUAUUUACAUUUUUAAACAAGACAUUUUUAAAGUUCAAUUUAAGCCAAAAUAGAUGGUACUUAAAAAUGAAAAAGUAAAGAAAACAUUUAAUUGCUUAAAUUUAAAGAGACCAAAAAUUAUGAAAUUCAUCCCCAUUAAUUUUCCCUAUGCAACUAAAACAUACAAUGCUUCUCAGGUAUUUAAGUUACACUCUCUUAUUGACAGAAGUGAAGCUUUGAUAUAUCAAAUAUCUCCCUAUAAGGAGAGUUAACAGUACCUCAUAAUGUCUAUGUGCAUUUAAUAACAUUUUUUUUUAUAAUUAAACUGUUAUGUAUUAAAAUUCAAUGAUCCAGCAUUUACAUCUUCUUGCCAUUAAUGUCCUCACUCAUAAGAUUUAUGCUUUAAAUGUAUAAUAACUGCAGUGCUUAUAAUAGAUAGUCGAUAAUUUAUUGCAGUCAUUUUUGUUUUUUUAUUGUGUUUUACAGAAAAUAAG
rnacentral:lncRNA from 1 species